rnacentral:rRNA from 1 species
GUCGAGGGGUAUAGGUUUUCGGACCUAGAGACCGGCGCACGGGUGCGUAACGCGUAUGCAAUCUACCUUUUACAGAGGGAUAGCCCAGAGAAAUUUGGAUUAAUACCUCAUAGUAUAAUGACUCGGCAUCGAGAUAUUAUUAAAGUCACAACGGUAAAAGAUGAGCAUGCGUCCCAUUAGCUUGUUGGUAAGGUAACGGCUUACCAAGGCAACGAUGGGUAGGGGUCCUGAGAGGGAGAUCCCCCACACUGGUACUGAGACACGGACCAGACUCCUACGGGAGGCAGCAGUGAGGAAUAUUGGUCAAUGGGCGCAAGCCUGAACCAGCCAUGCCGCGUGCAGGAUGAAGCAUCUAUGGUGUGUAAACUGCUUUUGUACGAGAAGAAACACUCCUACGUGUAGGAGCUUGACGGUAUCGUAAGAAUAAGGACCGGCUAACUCCGUGCCAGCAGCCGCGGUAAUACGGAGGGUCCAAGCGUUAUCCGGAAUCAUUGGGUUUAAAGGGUCCGUAGGCGGUUUUGUAAGUCAGUGGUGAAAGCCCAUCGCUCAACGGUGGAACGGCCAUUGAUACUGCAAGACUUGAAUUAUUGGGAAGCAACUAGAAUAUGUAGUGUAGCGGUGAAAUGCUUAGAGAUUACAUGGAAUACCAAUUGCGAAGGCAGGUUGCUACCAAUACAUUGACGCUGAUGGACGAAAGCGUGGGGAGCGAACAGGA